rnacentral:rRNA from 1 species
GCAAUUCGGCAUGGUCUGAUUUAUUAAUUGUCUUGCAAUUGUUAUGUUGUGUUGUUUGAUUUAUUUGUUGAAGAAUCAUUUGUGUUAUUGUAUUUUUGUGAUUUAAUUUGUUUUGCUAUAGUUUAUUUGUACUGUGAAGGGUUGAGAUAUCUUACUGUGUUUUUAGAAGCUUAUUUUAUUUGUUGUACCUUGUGUAUCAGGGUUCAUUGAAUUUUAUUAUUUAUUUUUAUUUCCCGAUUUUAAAGGAGUUAAUAGUUUAUGUUAGUUACUGUUUUAUUAGUAUUAAUAAUAGGUUAUUGGUAGUGAAAUGUUAAUCGUCUUUAGUGGUUUCUGGUUUUUCAAGAAAUGAAUUUAAUUCAUGCAUCUUAUUUAAGUUUUACUUUGUUGUAUUAUUAUUUUAUUUGGUGUUAAGAUUAAGGGGGAUUAGCUCCUUAUUUGAUUUUUAUAACUUUUUGUUUUAUUUAUUUUUGUGGAUUUUAUAUUGAUUUUCAAUUUGAUUAUGUUAAAAUUUUAUUUGUUUGUUUGUUUAUUUCUUUUUGUUUAAUUUAUUUAUUGAAAUGAUUUCUUUAUUUUUUAUUGAAUAGUAAUUAUUGUGUAAUUAGUAAAUUUUUUCUUUUGUGUUGUUUAUUUUUAUGUUAGAUUCUUUUGAGGAAUUCGGCAAAUAUUAUGUCCGCCUGUUUAACAAAAACAUCUUUUCUUGUUAGUUUUUGAAGUAUGACCUGCCCACUGACUUAUGUGUUGAAGGGCCGCGGUAUUUUGACCGUGCAAAGGUAGCAUAAUCAUUAGUUCUUUAAUUGUGAUCUGGUAUGAAUGGUUUGACGAGACAUGCACUGUCUUAAGUUAUUGGAAUAAUUUUAUUGAAUUUGGUUUUUGAGUUAAAAUUCUUAAAUGUUUUUAUGGGACGAGAAGACCCUAUAGAGUUUGACAUUUUAUUUAUUUGCUGUUCUUGUUUGUUUGUUUUGAUUGAUUAAAAUAAGUGUUUUGUUGGGGUGAUGGGAGGAAUUUGUGUAACUCCUCUUUAUUUAUUUAAUAUUUAUAUAUAUUUGUUUUGAUCCAUUUAUUUUGAUUAUAAGAUUAAAUUACCUUAGGGAUAACAGCGUUAUCUUCCUUGAGAGUUCUUAUUGGCGGGAAGGAUUGCGACCUCGAUGUUGGAUUAAGGUUAAUUUUCGGUGCAGGAGCUGGAAUUGUUAGGUCUGUUCGACCUUUAAAAUCUUACAUGAUCUGAGUUCAGACCGGCGUGAGCCAGGUUGGUUUCUAUCUAUAAUGAGUUUUUGUACCUCAGUACGAGAGGACCGGGUAUUUAGAAUAAUUUUAUUUUGUUUUGAUUAUUAUUAAUGUUACUAUUUUGGCAGAUAAGUGCAUUAGAUUUAGAAUCUAUAAAUG